AAGUGACCACCUUUAGGGACCUCAUGGUUUAUAAUCCAUGGUAGUUGGUGGCACAAACAUCUUUACAGUUGAAAGACAUCACUUUGUCUUCAUAACCUUUCCUUAUUUGAAUAGAAGAAGAGCUCUUUUCGGGUCCAGAUGGAAACAAGCAGGUAGGUCGGCCGGCCCAAAGUCCUAGUCGCCGAAGGCCACCAAAACAUCGCUUCACAGACCUAUCCACUCCACCUCUAGCAGAAGUUCAAAGCAUAUCUCAAGAAAAUACAACACUACACAGAACACUUAACAGCUCCUAAAAUAACAACCUCCAUGCAAGGAAGAACUGAUAGCAAAUUUUCUUCCCAUGAAGGUACAACAAACCUAACAAGAUAAACUAGAUUUAAGAGGAGAACAAGUAUAAUUCCCUGUAUGAAGUGAGAGAUUGUUAUAAUAGACAGAAAGUACCUAAAAAGGAUCUCACAGGUCAGGUUAUCCACUUCGAAGUUCACUUAGCAAAGAUCUCUCCACGACAAUCACCAUAGCAAGGAGAGAACCAACUUUGUGUAAAAUCUCUAGUGGAGGGAAAAAAAAUACAUCUCAUGAGGCAACUCAUCUAGAGAACUCUGAUUCUUAUAGAACCUGCAUAUCACUCCUAGAGAGAAAUAUCCUUUUUAAUGAUAUUUAUACUCUCACCACCCUCCUGAUUACAUACCUUUUAACACUAUAAUCAUUUAUGUAGAAGAUGUAUCCUCUCCUCCAUUUAUACCUUCAAAAGAUCAAGUAGUGGGUGAGUUAAGGGAAGUGACGGUCCAAUACAAAACAUGUGUUGAGAGAGGAAGAGGUAGACGACCUAUAUUAAAACCUAACCCUAGACCUCCUUGAGAUUAGUGGGAGCCAAAUCUUAAAAAAAGAAACCUCAUUGUUGGUCUCUAAAGAGAAUUUAUGGACCAAUCUCAUAUAGGUAAGGGAAGGCAACUUCAGGACCAAGCAAGCAAAAGCCUUCCAAAGGAAAAUCUUAGUCUAUUGGGGAAGGGUCUACCUUAAGAAGUGACACUUCUUCCUAAGCUGGUACAAACAAACUUAAAAUAUAUGUAGUUCCUGCAAUAUAGUUCCAACUCCUUAAGAAUAGUGAGCUGGAACUGUUGUGGUUUGGGGGACUCCAUGAAAGUCUAGAGAUUCAAUAAAUUUAUAAGAACUUUUUCCGUGACUUACUGUUUUUCUUGAGAGGCUUUAGUGGAUGAAAUAUGCCUCUAAUCAUCUAGUUCCUCCUCUUUCACCAGGAGCUACAGGUUUGGCCCUUUUUUUUUUUUCUAGAAACAUCAUAUUGUAGAGGAAAUUAUCAAGUCCUGCAAAAACUUUAUUGAUAAGAGUAAAAGAAAACGGUAGAAAUGUUUUCUCCACCUUCUGAUAUGGGGACCCUGAAAAGGCAAAAAUAAUUUAGGCAAAGCAAAAAAAAACAGCUAAUACGUUAUAAACUUUUAAUUAUUUCACUUGUAUUCGCCAUAAAUUGCAAUUACUUUUUCCUAAAAUUAAGCCUCGAUUUAAUCAUCUUCGGCCGUUACUUUAUAUAUAUAAAAAUUCAAGUAGAGCCAAAAGUAACCUAAUUUAAUAUAUAUAUAUAUAUAUAUAUUGUAAUCAAGUAGCUAUUGUAACGUCUAAGAGAAGUGUUGAAUUCUAAACAAGUUGGGUAUUAGAUUUGGAAUAGUAAAUAGACUAGAUUUGUUUACUAGGAAAUUAUAAAAGAUCAUAUAUCAACAUAUCAAAAUCCAUUAAAAAUUAGUCAUGACGAUAAAUUUAGGAGAAAUAUGGCCAUAUGAAUUACCUUUUCUUGUAGUAGUAAAAAAUGACAAAAAUACAAAUAAUUUACAAAUACAAUUUCAAUUGUUGUAAUUAAAAUCAAUGACGAAUAAAUUAGAAAUCAUGACUUACUCUCUGCCUCAACGAUCGCAUUUUUGUCUGUACAUUGGUAGAUCUCUCCUAAAAGAAGUUAUUUUAAAAUUGCUUCGCAUACUCUAUCGUAGUGUAUGAUCAAGUGACUACCUUUAGGGACCUCAUGGUUUCUAAUACAUGGUAGUUGGUGGCACAAAUAUCCUUACAACUGAAACGACAUCACUUUGUCUUCAUAACCUUUCCAUAUUUGGAUAGAAGAAGAGCUCUUUUCGGGUCCAGAUGGAAACAAGUCAGGUAGGUCGGCCGGCUCAAAGUCCCAGUCGCCGAAGGCCACCAGAAAACCGCUUCUCACCAUCGCAAAGUAAGACAACAACUUAUAGAAUUAAUGAAAUAUAUCAAAAAAACUUUGAGAAUAUAGUAAUAUCUUACCAGACCUAGCCACUCCACCUCUCGCAGAAGUUCAAAGGAAAUCAUAAGAAACUACAACACUCCACAUAACACUUCACAACUCCUAAAAUAACCUCCUCCUUGCAAGGAAGAACUGUUAGCAAAUUUUCUUCCCAUGAAGUUACAACAAACCUGGAAAGGAAACUGGAUUUAAUAGGAGGAUAAGUAAAAUUCCCUGUAUGAAGCUAGAGAUUGUUAUAAUAGACGGGAAGUACCUAAAAUGGAUCUCACAGGUCAGGUUAUCCACCUCGGAGUUCACUUAGCAAAGAAAUCUCCACCCACAGUCACCAUAGCAAGGAGAGAACCAAAUUUGUGUAGAAUCUCUAGUGGAGGGAAAAAACUCCAUCUCAUGAGGCAACUCAUCUAGAGAACUCUGAUUCUUAUAGAACGUGCAUACCUCUCCUAGAGAGAAAUAUCCUUUUUAAUGAUAUUUAUACUCUCACCAGCCUCCUGAUUACAUACCUUUUAACACUAUAAUCAUUUAUGUAGAAGAUUUAUCCUCUCCUCCAUUUAUACCUUCAAAAGAUCAAGUAGUGGGUGAGUUAAGGGAAGUGACGGUCCAAUACAAAACAUGUGUUGAGAGAGGAAGAGGUAGACGCCCUAUAUUAAAACCUAACCCCUAGACCUCCUUGAGAUUAGUGGGAGCCAAAUCUUUAAAAAAAAGAAACCUCAUUGUUGGUCUCUAAAGAGAAUUUAUGGACCAAUAUCAUAUAGGUAAGGGAAGGCAACUUCAGGACCAAGCAAGCAAAAGCCUUCCAAAGGAAAAUCUUAGUCUAUUGGGGAAUAGUCUACCUUAAGAAGUGACACUUCUUCCUAAGCUGCUACAGACAAACAUAAAAUACCUUUAGUUACUGCAAUCUAGUUCCAACUCCUUAAGAAUAGUGCGCUGGAACUGUUGUGGUUUGGGGGACUCCAUAAAAGUUUAGAGAUUAAAUAAAUUCACAAGAAUUUUUUCCCUGACUUACUGUUUUUCUUGAGAGGCUUUAGUGGAUGAAAUAUGCCUCUAAUCAUCUAGUUCCUCCUCUUUCACCAGGAGCUACAGGUUUGGCCCUUUUUUUCUAGAAACAUCAUAUUGAAGAGGAAAUUAUCAAAUCCUGCAAAAACUUUAUUGAUAAGAGUAAAAGCAAAAGGUAGAAAUGUUUUCUCCACCUUCCAAUAUGGGGACCCUGAAAAGGCAAAAAUAAUUUAGACAAAGCCAAAAAAACAGCUAAUACGUUAUAAACUUUUAAUUAUUUCACUUGUAUUCGCCAUAAAUUGCAAUUGAUUUUUCCUAAAAUUAAGCCUCGAUUUAAUCAUCUUCGGCCGUUACUUUAUAUAUAUAAAAAAAUUCAAGUAGAGCCAAAGUGACCUAAUUCAAAAUAUAUUGUAAUCAAGUAGCUAUUGUAACGUCUAAGAGAAGCGUUGAAUUUCUAAACAAGUUGGGUAUUAGGUUUGGAAUAGUAAAUAUACUAGAUUUUUUUACUAGGAAAUUAUAAAAGAUCAUAUAUCAACAUAUCAAAAUCCAUUAAAAAUUAGUCAUGACGAUAAAUUUAGGAGAAAUAUGGCCAUAUGAAUUACCUUUUCUUGUAGUGGUAAAAAAUGACGAAAAUACAAAUAAUUUACAAAUACAAUUUCAAUUGUUGUAAUAAAAAUCAAUGAAUCAAGAAACAAUGACGAAUAAGUUAGAAAUCAUGACUUAUUCUCUAUCUGAACAAUCGCAUUUUGUUGUCUGUACAUUGGUAGAUCUCUCCUAAAAGAAGUUAUUUUAAAAUUGCUUCGCAUACUCUAUCGUAGUGUAUGAUCAAGUCACUACCUUUAGGGACCUCAUGGUUUCUAAUACAUGGUAGUUGGUGGCACAAAUAUCCUUACAACUGAAACGACAUCACUCUGUCUUCAUAACCUUUCCAUAUUUGAAUAGAAGAAGAGCCCUUUUCGGGUCCAGAUGGAAACAAGUCAGGUAGGUCGGCCGGCUCAAAGUCCCAGUCGCCGAAGGCCACCAAAAACCGCUUCUCACCAUCUCAAAGUAAGACAACAAUUUAUAGAAUUGAUGAAAUAUAUCAAAAAAGCUUUAAGAAUAUAGUAAUAUCUUACCAGACCUAGCCACUCCACCUCUCGCAGAAGUUCAAAGGAAAUCUCAAGAAACUACAACACUCCACAUAA
rnacentral:lncRNA from 1 species